rnacentral:rRNA from 1 species
UUCCGAUGACCUGUGGAUAGGAGUGAAAGGCUAAUCAAACUCGCAGAUAGCUGGUUCUCCCCGAAAUAGCUUUAGGGCUAGCCUCUAGUAAUAGUACACGGGGGUAGAGCUACUGAAUGGGAUAGGGGCCCUCACCGGGUACCCUACCUAAUCAAACUCCGAAUACCGUGUGCCCUAUCUAGGGAGUCAGACUACGGGUGAUAAGGUCCGUGGUCGAAAGGGAAACAGCCCAGACCGUCAGCUAAGGUCCCUAAUAUCCGCUAAGUGCAGCAAAGGAUGUGAGAUCUCAAAGACAGCCAGGAUGUUGGCUUAGAAGCAGCCAUCAUUUAAAGAGUGCGUAACAGCUCACUGGUCGAGAGAUCUCGCGCCGAUAAUGAACGGGGCUAAGUGGAUAACCGAAGCUACGGCAUGUACAGACUCGUUGAGUGUGUGCAUGGGUAGGGGAGCGUUCCAAGUGGGUGAAGGAUGACGGCAACGACAUCUGGACGCUUUGGAAGUGAUAAUGCCGGAAUGAGUAGCGAUAAAGCAGGUGAGAAUCCUGCUCUCCAAAAACCUAAGGUUUCCUGGGCACGGUAAAUCCGCCCAGGGUUAGUCGGACCCUAAGACGAGGCCGAAAGGCGUAGUCGAUGGACGACAGGUUAAUAUUCCUGUACUGCCGAAAUCCGUUUUAACCGAUGGGGUGACGCGGGAGGAAAGGUGAUCACACUGACAGAUUAGUGUGUGUAAGCCCGAGGGUGGCACGUAGGUAAAUCCGCGUGCGGAAGCCCAGAGGUGAUGCCGGGCGCUUAUGCGCGAAGUCACUGGACUGACCGCCUAGAAAAUCCUCUAGGAAGGACUAGGUAUCCGUACCAAAACUGACACAGGUGGGUGAGGUGAGAAUCCUAAGGCGCUCGAGAGAACUGUUGUUAAGGAACUCGGCAAAUUGACCCCGUAACUUCGGGAUAAGGGGUGCCCUCCAGGGUGAAAGUCUUUUCGACUCUAGCUCCGGGGGGCCGCAGAGAAAUGGCCCAAGCGACUGUUUACUAAAAACACAGGUCUGUGCUAAGUCCUAAAGACGAUGUAUACAGACUGACGCCUGCCCAAUGCUGGAAGGUUAAGGGGAGCGGUUAGCGUAAGCGAAGCUGCGAACUGAAGCCCCAGUGAAUGGCGGCCGUAACUAUGACGGUCCUAAGGUAGCGAAGUUCCUUGUCGGGUAAGUUCCGACCCGCACGAAAGGCGUAACGAUUUGGGCACUGUCUCAACAACAGACUCGGCGAAAUUGUAGUCGUGGUGAAGAUGCCACGUUCCCGCAUCAAGACGGAAAGACCCCGUGAACCUUUACUAUAGCCUGAUAUUGGGGCUUGGUAUGCCGUGCGUAGCAUAGGUGGGAGGCGUUGAAGCUGUGCUCUCGGGCAUGGUGGAGCCACAAUGUGAAAUACCACUCUCGGUAUAUUAGGUCUCUAACGCGUUUGUCUGAAUCGGCAACGCGGACAGUGUCUGGUGGGUAGUUUGGCUGGGGCGGUCUCCUCCUAAAGAGUAUCGGAGGAGCGCGAUGGU